ACGCUGGCGGCGUGCCUAAUACAUGCAAGUCGAACGAGAGCGACCGGUGCUUGCACUGGUCAAUCUAGUGGCGAACGGGUGAGUAACACGUGGGUAACCUGCCCAUCAGAGGGGGAUAACAUUCGGAAACGGAUGCUAAAACCGCAUAGGUCCUUUAACCGCAUGGUUGAAGGAGGAAAAGAGGCGCAAGCUUCUGCUGAUGGAUGGACCCGCGGUGCAUUAGCUAGUUGGUGAGGUAACGGCUCACCAAGGCCGUGAUGCAUAGCCGACCUGAGAGGGUGAUCGGCCACAUUGGGACUGAGACACGGCCCAAACUCCUACGGGAGGCAGCAGUAGGGAAUCUUCCGCAAUGGACGCAAGCCUGACGGAGCAACGCCGCGUGAGUGAAGAAGGUUUUCGGAUCGUAAAACUCUGUUGUUAGAGAAGAACAAGUGCUAGAGUAACUGUUAGCGCCUUGACGGUAUCUAACCAGAAAGCCACGGCUAACUACGUGCCAGCAGCCGCGGUAAUACGUAGGUGGCAAGCGUUGUCCGGAUUUAUUGGGCGUAAAGCGAGCGCAGGCGGUUCCUUAAGUCUGAUGUGAAAGCCCCCGGCUCAACCGGGGAGGGUCAUUGGAAACUGGGGAACUUGAGUGCAGAAGAGGAGAGUGGAAUUCCAUGUGUAGCGGUGAAAUGCGUAGAUAUAUGGAGGAACACCAGUGGCGAAGGCGACUCUCUGGUCUGUAACUGACGCUGAGGCUCGAAAGCGUGGGUAGCAAACAGGAUUAGAUACCCUGGUAGUCCACGCCGUAAACGAUGAGUGCUAAGUGUUGGAGGGUUUCCGCCCUUCAGUGCUGCAGUUAACGCAUUAAGCACUCCGCCUGGGGAGUACGACCGCAAGGUUGAAACUCAAAGGAAUAGACGGGGACCCGCACAAGCGGU
rnacentral:rRNA from 1 species